rnacentral:rRNA from 1 species
UACGUAGGGUGCAAGCGUUGUCCGGAAUUAUUGGGCGUAAAGAGCUUGUAGGCGGUUUGUCGCGUCUGCUGUGAAAAUCCGGGGCUCAACCCCGAACUUGCAGUGGGUACGGGCAGACUAGAGUGUGGUAGGGGAGACUGGAAUUCCUGGUGUAGCGGUGAAAUGCGCAGAUAUCAGGAGGAACACCGAUGGCGAAGGCAGGUCUCUGGGCCACUACUGACGCUGAGAAGCGAAAGCAUGGGGAGCGAACAGG